rnacentral:rRNA from 1 species
AGCAGCCGCGGUAAUUCCAGCUCCAAUAGCGUAUAUUAAAGUUGUUGCAGUUAAAAAGCUCGUAGUUGAAUUUCGGGAUCAAUAUGUUGGUCGUGCCUUGGUACGUACUAAUUUAUUGGUUUCUUCCUUCUGACGAACCAUGAUGUCAUUAAUUUGGUGUCUUGAGGAAUCAGGACUGUUACUUUGAAAAAAUUAGAGUGUUUAAAGCAGGCUCACGCUUGAAUACAUUAGCAUGGAAUAAUGAAAUAGGACGUUUGAUUCUAUUUUGUUGGUUUCUAGGAUCGACGUAAUGAUUAAUAGGGAUAGUUGGGGGCAUUAGUAUUCAAUUGUCAGAGGUGAAAUUCUUGGAUUUAUUGAAGACUAACUACUGCGAAAGCAUUUGCCAAGGAUGUUUCAUUAAUCAAGAACGAAAGUUAGGGGAUCGAAGACGAUCAGAUACCGUCGUACGUC